CGGAGGGUGCAAGCGUUAUCCGGAUUUAUUGGGUUUAAAGGGUCCGCAGGCGGACUGAUAAGUCAGUGGUGAAAUCUCAUAGCUUAACUAUGAAACUGCCAUUGAUACUGUUGGUCUUGAGUAAAUUUGAGGUAGCUGGAAUAAGUAGUGUAGCGGUGAAAUGCAUAGAUAUUACUUAGAACACCAAUUGCGAAGGCAGGUUACCAAAUUUAACUGACGCUGAGGGACGAAAGCGUGGGUAGCGAACAGGAUU
rnacentral:rRNA from 1 species